CUUUCUCUCUCUGCUUUUCAAAAUUCUAUCUUCUCUCUUUGCUAUCUAACAAACGGCGAAGAGAUCCGCCGCCGACCACAGCAUCGCCACCGUGCCGGCCGCCAUCUCUAAUGGUCGUUGGACACCAAACAAUAUCAGUCGACUCGUUUUGACACCGGUAAUGCAAAUCAAGACUUGGUUCCGCAGGAAUCGGCUCCCAUCUCCACAAAAAUGACCUACAACCUUUCGGUUUUUAUCUCACCGAUCUCCUCCGUCAACCGUUGGAUCGAAUCGGCUUUGAACUAUGUUACUUAUGUCACCACCAGGCUUCAUUUAACCGUCCGGAUCUGCCAUCUGACCACUGGAGCCACCGUCAUCGAAGACCUAAGCUUGGAUUUGCUGAAACCGUCUUAGGAUCGAGCUGGCGAGAGUUCGUUGAAACAGAGGACCAGCUGUCGUUGCUGCGUGUCCAUGCGAGCUAGUGAAGCUUCUGGAAGGAAGCAAACAAGUCAUGGAGCUCCAGUUGCUGUGAAACAUGAGAGGCGGUGCAAGUGUUUAAACAAACCCUAAUCUGAUAUUGGUCUAUUUGUUCGGGCCUUUUCAUUCGAGUCUUUUUGGUCCAUAGUGAUUUUGGGUAAAAAUGGAUUUUAGUUGCAUUAUAAAUGGGUCGUGUUAAUGGUUUGGACCACUGAUUUUGUAGUGGAUUAAUUGGUUUAAAAUUGUAAUUGGUUAAUGAGUGAGUUGUAAGGGUUUAAUGUAAUGGGUAAUGUUUGGUUACAAAGUUGAUUUGGUGGAUUUAUAAAUGGACUUUUAUUUUGGUA